CCGGUUGCAGGAUCCUCGUCCAGGAGGUCGUCCCCAAGAACCACCGCUGCUACCUCGACGCCGCCGUCGUUCAGGACUUGGGCGCAUCCAAAGGAUGAGCCUGGGUUGGAUGCGUCCACGGUGUGCGUGAGGUCAAGCUGCUGGCAGACAAGACCCAAUGCGGUGACCUCGUCGCCGGCGACUGGCACCGCAAGGAUAACUGACGAGGAGGACAAAACGACGACGACGGUGGGAUUCGUGUUGGACUCGAGAUGUAGUUAUGUAAGAUUCAGCUUCCUCAUUUCUGCUUUUUCUUAGUCUUGUACAUAGAUGAUGGUGUAGCAUCUGUACAUGCUCAUAGCUGGUUUUUGAUUCUCCAGAUUCUUGUCCGAGUAAAUGAGUAGUAGUGUCUUGCGUUACUUGAAGGAUUAUGUGUGCUAAGAAAUUCAACUGGGGCUUUUAUUCUCCAGAUUUGUUUCUACAUUUUGAA